rnacentral:rRNA from 1 species
AACGUAGGAGACAAACGUUAUCCGGAGUUACUGGGCGUAAAGGGCGUGUAGGUGGUAUCGUAAGUCUGGCGUGAAAUUUCUCGGCUUAACCGAGGCAGGUCGUCGGAUACUGCGAGGCUAGAGGACGGUAGAGGCGUGUGGAAUUCCUGGUGUAGCGGUGGAAUGCGCAGAUAUCAGGAGGAACACCGGUGGCGAAGGCGGCUCCCUGGACUAAUACUGACGCUGAGGUGCGAAAGCGUGGGGAGCAAACAGG